UCCGGGGGGCCGCGGCCAGUAACCCCACCCGCCCAGACGCGGCUGCCUGAGGGAAGGAGGGGGGGGCGGCGCCCCUUCCCAGCGGAGCGGCCUCGGAAGCGCGCAGGCAUCCGAAACUCGGAUCCCGAAGAUGCCCAGGCUCCACCCAAAAGCCCUUAACCAGGCUGCCGGCUCUGAAUCUGACAGCUGGGGAUCCGACAUGGCCCCCGGGCGGGCGGCGCUGAGGCCCAGUCUCCAGCCGCGGCCGUCCGCGCACGCGCACACCGUCUUGCCCGUGCGGCCAGGCCUUCAAACUUGGACUGAAUUAUACCACUGGCUCUCCUGGGUCUCCAGCUUACAAACAGAAGAUCAUGGGACUUCUCAGCCUCCAUAAUCCUAAUCCUGAGGCCACCACUGUGCCAGGAAGAAGCCGGGGAUGCAGGCCCACAUAAGAGAGUGGCUCAGCGCCCAGCCAUCCCAGCUGAGCCCAGCAUCCAGUGGCUGCAGUCACCCGAGCGAACCCAGACAAGAUGAGUAGAAGGACUGCCCAGCCAACCCGCAGAACUGUGAAAAAGAAUGAAUUGUCAUUUUAAGCCACUAAGUGUGGAGUGGCUUGUUUCUCUGCAAUAAGCAACUAAAACACUUUGCAGGGUAACUUCCAAGACAAGGUCACUUCAAGGUUUUCAGGCAAGGCAGCUUGUGCUGCACGGGGGUUUACUGGAGCUAGGGGUGCUCUAAAUCAUCCAAAUCCUGCCAUAUGGCCUCUAAUUCCCUCCCUGAGAUCAGUGCCCUAAAUUUCACCUGAGAUCUAGCAGCACUGUGAAUUCAGCUGACAAACUGACAAUGUAAUUUGUUGACUGCAGCAUCAAACUCCUGUCUUGAUAAGUUAUAUAACAUAGCUUAGCUCUCCCCUCCCGUUGGGCCUCCUCUCGCCUCCCCUCUUGAGUUUGUCAUCUCUGGUUUACACCAAGACAGAAGA